UGCAUGUCUAAGUAUAAGCAAUUAUACGGCGAAACUGCGAAUGGCUCAUUAUAUAAGUUAUCGUUUAUUUGAUAGCACCUUACUACUUGGAUAACCGUGGUAAUUCUAGAGCUAAUACAUGCUAAAAAUCCCGACUUCGGAAGGGAUGUAUUUAUUAGAUUAAAAACCAAUGCCCUCUGGGCUCUCUGGUGAUUCAUGAUAACUUCUCGAAUCGCAUGGCCUUGCGCCGGCGAUGGUUCAUUCAAAUUUCUUCCCUAUCAACUUUCGAUGUUUGGGUAGUGGCCAAACAUGGUUGCAACGGGUAACGGAGGGUUAGGGCUCGACCCCGGAGAAGGAGCCUGAGAAACGGCUACUACAUCCAAGGAAGGCAGCAGGCGCGCAAAUUACCCAAUCCCGACACGGGGAGGUAGUGACAAUAAAUACUGAUACAGGGCUCUUUUGGGUCUUGUAAUUGGAAUGAGUACAAUUUAAAUCCCUUAACGAGGAACAAUUGGAGGGCAAGUCUGGUGCCAGCAGCCGCGGUAAUUCCAGCUCCAAUAGCGUAUAUUAAAGUUGUUGUGGUUAAAAAGCUCGUAGUUGAACCUUGGGCCUGGCUGGCCGGUCCGCCUCACCGCGUGCACUGGUCCGGCCGGGCCUUUCCCUCUGUGGAACCCCAUGCCCUUCACUGGGUGUGGCGGGGAAACAGGACUUUUACUUUGAAAAAAUUAGAGUGCUCCAGGCAGGCCUAUGCUCGAAUACAUUAGCAUGGAAUAAUGAAAUAGGACGUGCGGUUCUAUUUUGUUGGUUUCUAGGACCGCCGUAAUGAUUAAUAGGGACAGUCGGGGGCAUCAGUAUUCAAUUGUCAGAGGUGAAAUUCUUGGAUUUAUUGAAGACUAACUACUGCGAAAGCAUUUGCCAAGGAUGUUUUCAUUAAUCAGGAACGAAAGUUAGGGGAUCGAAGACGAUCAGAUACCGUCGUAGUCUUAACCAUAAACUAUGCCGACUAGGGAUCGGACGAUGUUAUUUUUUGACUCGUUCGGCACCUUACGAGAAAUCAAAGUGCUUGGGCUCCAGGGGGAGUAUGGUCGCAAGGCUGAAACUUAAAGAAAUUGACGGAAGGGCACCACCAGGGGUGGAGCCUGCGGCUUAAUUUGACUCAACACGGGGAAACUCACCAGGUCCAGACACAAUGAGGAUUGACAGAUUGAGAGCUCUUUCUUGAUUUUGUGGGUGGUGGUGCAUGGCCGUUCUUAGUUGGUGGAGUGAUUUGUCUGCUUAAUUGCGAUAACGAACGAGACCUUAACCUGCUAAAUAGCCCGUAUUGCUUUGGCAGUACGCCGGCUUCUUAGAGGGACUAUCGGCUCAAGCCGAUGGAAGUUUGAGGCAAUAACAGGUCUGGAUGCAA
rnacentral:rRNA from 1 species